rnacentral:lncRNA from 10 species
CCUGGUUCCAACUGGCAGCCUUCUCUGGGUUCCAGGUCUCCAUGACACAGACAUCCUCCACCACACCUGUUAAGAAAGUCGAAAUCGUCACUGCCACCCACACUGGGGUUCUGCUUUCCUGAUUACACCUUUCUCAUCUCUAUCACCUAUGCCAGGAACCCAAACCCAAGUCUUCCCAGCUGUGUGCAGAAUCACAGUGGCCACACCAAGACAACAGUGCCCAGCAGCAGCAUAGUACACCUAAAGGUGCUGCACUCUUGAUGUGGAUGCUGAUGAAAAGGAGAGUAGAAAUAAUAACAAUAUGUUUCGACGGGGCAUGGUGGCUCAUGCCUGUAACCCCAGCACUUCGAGAGGCCAAGGCAAGAAGACC